GAUGAACGCUAGCUACAGGCUUAACACAUGCAAGUCGAGGGGAAACGAUAUUGAAAGCUUGCUUUCGAUAGGCGUCGACCGGCGCACGGGUGAGUAACGCGUAUCCAACCUGCCCAUAACUAAGGGAUAAUCCGUAGAAAUGCGGUCUAAUACCUUAUGUGUUCCGAGGAAGACAUCUGAUUUGGAUUAAAGAUUUAUCGGUUAUGGAUGGGGAUGCGUCUGAUUAGAUUGUUGGCGGGGCAACGGCCCACCAAGUCUGCGAUCAGUAGGGGUUCUGAGAGGAAGGUCCCCCACAUUGGAACUGAGACACGGUCCAA
rnacentral:rRNA from 1 species